AUAUUUCACACAGGGCGAAAGCCUGAAGCAGCAACGCCGCGGGAGUGAUGAAGGACUUCGGGUCGUAAAGCUCUUUGUUCAGGGAUGAUAAUGACAGUACCUGAAAAAAGAGCUGCGCCUAACUACGUGCCACAAGCCGCGGUAAUACGUAGGUGGCGAGCGUUGUCCGGAAUUAAUGGGGGUAAAGGAUGCGUAGGUGGAUACUUAAGUGGAAUGUGAAAUCCCCGGGCUCAACCCGGGAACUGCAUUCCAAACUUGGUAUCUAGAGUGCAGGAGAGGAAAGCGGAAUUCCUAGUGUAGCGGUGAAAUGCGUAGAUAUUAGGAGGAACACCAGUGGCGAAGGCGGCUUUCUGGACUGUAACUGACACUGAGGCAUGAAAGCGUGGGUAGCAAACAGG
rnacentral:rRNA from 1 species